rnacentral:rRNA from 1 species
UGCGUAGGGUGCAAGCGUUGUCCGGAAUUAUUGGGCGUAAAGAGUUCGUAGGCGGCUUGUCACGUCGGGUGUGAAAGCCCGGGGCUUAACCCCGGGUCUGCAUUCGAUACGGGCUAGCUAGAGUGUGGUAGGGGAGAUCGGAAUUCCUGGUGUAGCGGUGAAAUGCGCAGAUAUCAGGAGGAACACCGAUGGCGAAGGCGGACCGCUGGGCCAUUACUGACGCUGAGGAACGAAAGCGUGGGGAGCGAACAGG